AGAGUUUGAUUCUGGCUCAGGAUGAACGCUGGCGGCGUGCCUAACACAUGCAAGUCGAACGGACCUAUUAUUAACAGAGACUCGGUUGAAGUUGGUUUAGGUUAGUGGCGGACGGGUGAGUAACGCGUGGAGAACCUGCCCUGUACUGGGGGAUAACAGUGAGAAAUCACUGCUAAUACCGCAUAAGCGCACGAAACCGCAUGGUUUUGUGUGAAAAACUCCGGUGGUACAGGAUGGCUCCGCGUUGGAUUAGCCAGUUGGCGGGGUAACGGCCCACCAAAGCUACGAUCCAUAGCCGGCCUGAGAGGGUGAACGGCCACAUUGGGACUGAGACACGGCCCAGACUCCUACGGGAGGCAGCAGUGGGGAAUAUUGCACAGUGGGGGAAACCCUGAUGCCAGCGACGCCGCGUGAAGGAAGAAGUAUCUCGGUAUGUAAACUUCUAUCAGCAGGGAAGAAAAUGACGGUACCUGACUAAGAAGCCCCGGCUAACUACGUGCCAGCCGCAGC
rnacentral:rRNA from 1 species